rnacentral:rRNA from 1 species
CCUACGGGAGGCAGCAGUGGGGAAUAUUGGACAAUGGGGGAAACCCGUGAUCCAGCAAUGCCGCGUGAGUGAUGAAGGCCUUAGGGUUGUAAAGCUCUUUUACCAGGGAUGAUAAUGACAGUACCUGGAGAAUAAGCUCCGGCUAACUCCGUGCCAGCAGCCGCGGUAAUACGGAGGGAGCUAGCGUUGUUCGGAAUUACUGGGCGUAAAGCGCACGUAGGCGGUUACUCAAGUCAGAGGUGAAAGCCCGGGGCUCAACCCCGGGAACUGCCUUUGAAACUAGGUAACUAGAAUCCUGGAGAGGUGAGUGGAAUUCCGAGUGUAGAGGUGAAAUUCGUAGAUAUUCGGAAGAACACCAGUUGGCGAAGGCGGCUC